ACCUACGGGGGGCAGCAGUAGGGAAUUUUCGUCAAUGGGCGCAAGCCUGAACGAGCAAUGCCGCGUGAACGAGGAAGGUCUUCGGAUUGUAAAGUUCUGUUGAAGGGGAAAAAGAGCGGAGAGAGGAAAUGGUCUCCGAUUGAUAUUACCCUUCGAGGAAGUCACGGCUAACUACGUGCCAGCAGCCGCGGUAAUACGUAGGUGGCGAGCGUUAUCCGGAAUGAUUGGGCGUAAAGGGUGCGUAGGCGGCCUGCUAAGUCUGGAGUGAAAGGUACCGGCUCAACCGGUACAGGCUCUGGAAACUG
rnacentral:rRNA from 1 species